rnacentral:tRNA from 1 species
GGAGAGAUGACAGAGUUGGUUGAUUGUGUCUGAUUUGAAAUCAGAUUUAUUAAUAAAUAACGUGAGUUCAAAUCUCACUCUCUCUU